rnacentral:rRNA from 1 species
AUUGAACGCUGGCGGCAGGCCUAACACAUGCAAGUCGAACGGUAACAGGAAACAGCUUGCUGUUUCGCUGACGAGUGGCGGACGGGUGAGUAAUGUCUGGGAAACUGCCUGAUGGAGGGGGAUAACUACUGGAAACGGUAGCUAAUACCGCAUAACGUCGCAAGCCCAAAGAGGGGGACCUUCGGGCCUCUUGCCAUCGGAUGUGCCCAGAUGGGAUUAGCUAGUAGGUGGGGUAACGGCUCACCUAGGCGACGAUCCCUAGCUGGUCUGAGAGGAUGACCAGCCACACUGGAACUGAGACACGGUCCAGACUCCUACGGGAGGCAGCAGUGGGGAAUAUUGCACAAUGGGCGCAAGCCUGAUGCAGCCAUGCCGCGUGUAUGAAGAAGGCCUUCGGGUUGUAAAGUACUUUCAGCGGGGAGGAAGGGAGUAAAGUUAAUACCUUUACUCAUUGACGUUACCCGCAGAAGAAGCACCGGCUAACUCCGUG